rnacentral:lncRNA from 1 species
CUGUCUUACAUUGGACCAAAAGGUGAAUACAGUGUUGUUUUAAUAGAAAUGUGACGUUGAUUUCCGACCAAAAUUCAAUACCUGAACAAAAAUCUGGAGCAAUAGUGUUAAAGCUUAUUCUGCACUGUUAAUAAUAAUCUUUUUAGAUUUUUUUUUUGAGAUUUAUCUUUUCUUCUCUAUUUUUCAAGAAUAUGAUGAACAUCCUGGGACCUGACAGUCACAUCAACAACAUUGGAAAGAUCCAUUUAGUCCAGUUCUCUGCAGAAGGAGUAUUUGGUUGGAUUUUGAAGGACCCUUUGUUUAUUGACACCUUUCUGUCAGGUAGAAGAUCUUUAAUCAUUCAUUUCAUUAUUUGAAAGCUAAAGCUUUUCAAUCAAAAGUGUUGCAGGAAUUUUAAUCUGCAAUUUUUUAACUGGCAAUUUUAUAUAUUUUAUCUCAGAACCAAUAGAAAUUCUGGAGGGAGGUCAGAGAAAGAGAAGACACAGCGGUGAUCUCUGGAGCUCUGGACCUCUACCCCGCAUUCCCAACCCAAUAGCAUGUCUCAAUCCCAGUGAUAUGCUCAUCUUUCAGCUAACCAUCAACUACACUGACCGUCUCCUCAGCCACUUCCCUGUGUAUCAGAAGGACCAUUUGUUCAGUAGUAAUCCUGCCUGGGACUUUGGAGCAUUCAGGCAUCUGGAGCGGCUUAUCAAGCAUUCUCAGUUUAAUUCCACCAGGUACGCUUGUGAUGACUAAUGAUUUAUACACACAUGGCCCCAAGAAUGGAGCCAGUAUUCUAUAUG